rnacentral:tRNA from 1 species
GGAGAAGUAGCUCAGCUUGGUAGAGCACUACAUUUGGGGCAUAGUGGUCGCAGGUUCAAAUCCUGUCUUCUUCACCA